rnacentral:rRNA from 1 species
AGGAAUUGGCGGGGGAGCACCACAAGGGGUGAAGCCUGCGGUUCAAUUGGAGUCAACGCCAGAAAUCUUACCUGGGGCGACAGCAGAAUGAAGGUCAAGCUGAAGACUUUACCAGACAAGCUGAGAGGUGGUGCAUGGCCGUCGCCAGCUCGUGCCGUGAGAUGUCCUGUUAAGUCAGGUAACGAGCGAGACCCCUGCGUCUAGUUGCUACCAUUACUCUCUGGAGUAGUGGAGCGAAUUAGACGGACCGCCACAGUUAAUGUGGAGGAAGGAAGGGGCCACGGCAGGUCAGUAUGCCCCGAAACCCUAGGGCUACACGCGGGCUGCAAUGGUAUUGACAAUGUGUUCCGAAUCCGAAAGGAGGAGGCAAUCAUCAAACGAUACCUCAGUUAUGACUGAGGGCUGUAACUCGCCCUCACGAAUAUGGAAUCCCUAGUAACUGCGCGUCACUACCGCGCGGUGAAUACGUCCCUGCUCCUUGCACACACCGCCCGUC